rnacentral:rRNA from 1 species
GACGAACGCUGGCGGCGUGCUUAACACAUGCAAGUCGAACGGAAAGGCCCUGCUUUUGUGGGGUGCUCGAGUGGCGAACGGGUGAGUAACACGUGAGUAACCUGCCCUUGACUUUGGGAUAACUUCAGGAAACUGGGGCUAAUACCGGAUAGGAGCUCCUGCUGCAUGGUGGGGGUUGGAAAGUUUCGGCGGUUGGGGAUGGACUCGCGGCUUAUCAGCUUGUUGGUGGGGUAGUGGCUUACCAAGGCUUUGACGGGUAGCCGGCCUGAGAGGGUGACCGGCCACAGUGGGACUGAGAUAGGCCGCAGACUCCGAGGGGGGGCAGCAGGGGGGAAUAUGGCAAAAGGGGGGGACGCCUGAGGCAGCACCGCCGGGUGCGGGAGGACGGCUUUCGGGUGGAAAACCGCUUUCGCCGGGGACGAAGGGGGAGGGAGGGUAAGGGGUAAAGAAGCACCGGCUAACUACGUG